AGAGUUUGAUCAUGGCUCAGAACGAACGCUGGCGGCGUGGAUAAGACAUGCAAGUCGAGCGCUGAUUCCGGGGUAGCAAUAUUCCGGGGUCGGAGCGGCGCAAGGGUGCGUAACACGUGGGCAAUCUGCCGUGAAGUUUGGGAUAACUUGCUGAAAGGCGAGCUAAUACCGGAUGUGACAACCGAGAGGCAUCUUUUGGUUGUUAAAGUUGGGGACCGUAAGGCCUGACGCUUCAUGAUGAGCCCGCGGCCUAUCAGCUUGUUGGUGAGGUAACGGCCCACCAAGGCUAAGACGGGUAGCUGGUCUGAGAGGACGACCAGCCACACUGGAACUGAGACACGGUCCAGACACCUACGGGUGGCAGCAGUCGAGAAUUUUUCACAAUGGGCGAAAGCCUGAUGGAGCGACGCCGCGUGGGGGAUGAAUGGCUUCGGCCCGUAAACCCCUGUCAUUUGCGAACAAACCUCGCUAUUUAAAAGAUGGCGAGCUGAUGGUAGCGAAAGAGGAAGGGACGGCUAACUCUGUGCCAGCAGCCGCGGUAAUACAGAGGUCCCAAGCGUUGUUCGGAUUCACUGGGCGUAAAGGGUGCGUAGGUGGUGGGGUAAGUCGGAUGUGAAAUCUCCGAGCUCAACUCGGAAAUGGCAUUGGAAACUACCCUGCUCGAGGGUUGGAGGGGGGGACUGGAAUUCUCGGUGUAGCAGUGAAAUGCGUAGAUAUCGAGAGGAACACCAGUGGCGAAGGCGAGUCCCUGGACAACUCCUGACACUGAGGCACGAAAGCUAGGGGAGCAAACAGGAUUAGAUACCCUAGUAGUCC
rnacentral:rRNA from 1 species